CCCUCUUUCUUCCCACCCACUCUUCUUUCAUUUCCUCCUUUUGCCACUCCACAGCCUAGGCUGGCAUGCUUCCCUGAUUCCCCGAUGCCUACCAAAUGCUAUGUUCCAGAAAAAUUCUCCUGCUUCACAUCAGCCCAGGGUUUGUUACUCAACACUCAAUAGAAUCAAAGGAGUGGAAGAAUCCCAGCGGAGGAGGGGCUGUGGCUAGGUCUAUGUGAAUUCCCUUCUACUCAGCUUCCGUUCCAGGUUCUCCAGGCUCUCCUAGUUCUAUAGGAUAAUAAUGGCAUUGCUUCAACUCUGUCUAGUACUUCCAAAAAAGCCUGGAAGAUAUUGUAUAUUUACCCUCAAUAAAGCCUGACCAAGUUAACUAAAAUAAUGGAAGGUUUCUUUCCUUUUUGGGGAGAGUGGGGGCCUGGAAGGUAGGGGAGGUCAUGCAGCACCAACUCAUUGUGAAGACUUCAUCUCAUAUUAAGAAGUUCUGUGGAGUGUGUCCGGGCUAGCGGCCUGGGUUGGGCUUUGUAGCUGCUCCGCAGGCCCAGCCCGGGCUGUGCUCGCAGAGUCCUAGCCGGUGCACGGCCUCCUGCCUCCUCCCUCCUCGGCGGUCGCGGCCCGCCAGCCUCCGCGGUGCCCGCCUUCGCUCUCAGGUUGAGGACAUCAAGCUCGGAAAAAUGGUGUGCAUUCCUUGUAUCGUCAUUCCAGUUCUGCUCUGGAUCUACAAAAAAUUCCUAGAGCCACACAUAUACCCUCUGGUUUCCCCCUUCGUUAGUCGUAUAUGGCCUAAGAAAGCAAUACAAGAAUCCAAUGAUACAAACAAAGGCAAAGUGGACUGUAAGGGUGCAGACACGAAUGGAUUACCAACAAAAGGACCAACGGAAAUCUCUGAUAAAAAAAGCAGUUUUCCUAAAGGACCUCAUCAUUUAAAAAAUGGACCUGAUAAUAUGAAGCAUCUUCCUUGUAAUUGUCUCUGACCUUUUUAUCUGAGACCGGAAUUCAGGAUAGGAGUCUAGAUAUUUACCUGAUACUAAUCAGGAAAUACAUGAUAUCUGUAUUUAAAAUGUAGUUAGUUAUAUUUAAUGACCUCAUUCCCAAGUUCCUUUUUCAUUAAUGUAGCUUUAAUUUCUGUUAUUGCUGUUUGAAUAAUAUGAUUAAAUAGAAGGUUUGUGCCAGUAGACAUUGUUACUAAAUCAGCACUU